GGCAUGUGCACGCUCUGUUCACACAUCCACUCACACCUGUGCACCCUCUGUAGUUCUAUGGCCUGGGGGACNCUGUUCCCCUUGNUGNGGUUCUACGUCUUUACACACACACUGUAAUAAAGUUUCAUGGAAUGUAGUCGCGUUUAACGCAAUACAAUACAACUUUCAGCAACGGAUCUCUUGGCUCUCGCAUCGAUGAANAACGCAGCGAAAUGCGAUAAGUAAUGUGAAUUGCAGAAUUCAGUGAAUCAUCNAAUCUUUGAACGCACCUUGCGCCCUUUGGNUAUUCCGAAAGGCAUGCCUGUUUGAGUAUCAUGAACACCUC
rnacentral:misc_RNA from 1 species